AGGGAAUUUUCCACAAUGGGCGAAAGCCUGAUGGAGCAACGCCGCGUGAGGGAUGAAGCAUUUCGGUGUGUAAACCUCUUUGGAGCGGGAAGAAUGCCGUUUGGGUGAACAGUCCAGACGGGUGACGGUACCGCUAGAACAAGACACGGCUAACUUCGUGCCAGCAGCCGCGGUAAUACGAAGGUGUCAAACGUUGUCCGGAAUUAUUGGGCGUAAAGGGCGCGUAGGCGGCCAGGUAAGUGAGAUGUGAAAGCUCUGGGCUCAACCCAGGAAUUGCAUUUCAUACUGCUUGGCUUGAGUUCGGUAGAGGAGGGCGGAAUUCCAGAAGUAGCGGUGAAAUGCGUAGAUAUCUGGAGGAACACCCGUGGCGAAGGCGGCUCUCUGGUCCGAUACUGACGCUGAGGCGCGAAAGGUAGGGGAGCAAAC
rnacentral:rRNA from 1 species